GUGCCUUAAACUAAAUGAGUAAGGAAAAUAUACGAGCCUUGGUGACGCUUGGCUUACAUGCUGGCGUGAACUAGCUUUAAAUUUUUGUUAGGGUACAGGUCGUCCCGUGAGUUGCCCGCAUACUUUUCGCGGGUGAUUUUGGUGAAGCGAUCUACCCU